AUUGAACGCUGGCGGCAGGCCUAACACAUGCAAGUCGAACGAGUGGCGGACGGGUGAGAAAUGUCUGGGAAACUGCCUGAUGGAGGGGGAUAACUCGUGGAAACGGUAGCUAAUACCGCAUACCAUCAGAUGUGGCCAGAUGGGCUUAGCUUUUUGGGGGGGUAACGGCUCACCAAGGCGACGGUCCCUAGCUGGUCUGAGAGGAUGACCAGCCACACUGGAACUGAGACACGGUCCAGACUCCUCCGGGAGGCAGCAGUGGGGAAUAUUGCACAAUGGGCGCAAGCCUGAUGCAGCCAGGCCGCGUGUAUGAAGAGGGCCUUCGGGUUGUAAAGUACUUUCAGCGGGGAGGCGUUACCCGCAGAAGAAGCCCCGGCUAACUCCGUGCCAGCAGCCGCGGUAAUUC
rnacentral:rRNA from 1 species